GACGAACGCUGGCGGCGUGCUUAACACAUGCAAGUCGAACGGAAAGGCCCUGCUUUUGUGGGGUGCUCGAGUGGCGAGCGGGUGAGUAACACGUGAGUAACCUGCCCUUGACUUUGGGAUAACUUCAGGAAACUGGGGCUAAUACCGGAUAGGAGCUCCUGCUGCAUGGUGGGGGUUGGAAAGUUUCGGCGGUUGGGGAUGGACUCGCGGCUUAUCAGCUUGUUGGUGGGGUAGUGGCUUACCAAGGCUUUGACGGGUAGCCGGCCUGAGAGGGUGACCGGCCACAUUGGGACUGAGAGACGGCCCAGACUCCUACGGGAGGCAGCAGUGGGGAAUAUUGCACAAUGGGCGGAAGCCUGAUGCAGCAACGCCGCGUGCGGGAUGACGGCCUUCGGGUUGUAAACCGCUUUCGCCUGUGACGAAGCGUGAGUGACGGUAAUGGGUAAAGAAGCACCGGCUAACUACGUG
rnacentral:rRNA from 1 species